GUUUUGGCUAGAAGAAGAGAUCUCAGUGACUUUGAAAGAGGGGUCUGAAAGGAGCGGAGAGGUUUUAAAGGGUGUGUGAUAGUGAUGGUUAUAUCCUUUGACAGAGGGGCCUGAAAGGAGCGGAGGUUUUAAAGGGUGUGUGAUAGUGAUGGUUAUAUCCUUUGACAGAGGGGUCUGAAAGGAGCGGAGGUUUUAAAGGGUGUGUGAUAGUGAUGGUUAUAUCCUUUGACAGAGGGGUCUGAAAGGAGCGGAGGUUUUAAAGGGUGUGUGAUAGUGAUGGUUAUAUCCUUUGACAGAGGGGUCUGAAAGGAGCGGAGGUUUUAAAGGGUGUGUGAUAGUGAUGGUUAUAUCCUUUGACAGAGGGGUCUGAAAGGAGCAUAGAGGGUUUAAAGGGUGUGUGAUAGUGAUGGUUAUAUCCUUUGACAGAGGGGUCUGAAAGGAGCAUAGAGGUUUUAAAGGGUGUGUGAUAGUGAUGGUUAUAUCCUUUGAAAGAGGGGUCUGAAAGGAGCAUAGAGGUUUUAAAGGGUGUGUGAUAGUGAUGGUUAUAUCCUUUGACAGAGGGGUCUGAAAGGAGCAUAGAGGGUUUAAAGGGUGUGUGAUAGUGAUGGUUAUAUCCUUUGACAGAGGGGUCUGAAAGGAGCAUAGAGGUUUUAAAGGGUGUGUGAUAGUGAUGGUUAUAUCCUUUGACAGAGGGGUCUGAAAGGAGCAGAGGUUUUAAAGGGUGUGUGAUAGUGAUGGUUAUAUCCUUUGACAGAGGGGUCUGAAAGGAGCAUAGAGGUUUUAAAGGGUGUGUGAUAGUGAUGGUUAUAUCCUUUGACAGAGGGGUCUGAAAGGAGCAGAGGUUUUAAAGGGUGUGUGAUAGUGAUGGUUAUAUCCUUUGACAGAGGGGUCUGAAAGGAGCGGAGGUUUUAAAGGGUGUGUGAUAGUGAUGGUUAUAUCCUUUGACAGAGGGGUCUGAAAGGAGCGGAGGUUUUAAAGGGUGUGUGAUAGUGAUGGUUAUAUCCUUUGAAAGAGGGGUCUGAAAGGAGCAUAGAGGUUUUAAAGGGUGUGUGAUAGUGAUGGUUAUAUCCUUUGACAGAGGGGUCUGAAAGGAGCAUAGAGGUUUUAAAGGGUGUGUGAUAGUGAUGGUUAUAUCCUUUGAAAGAGGGGUCUGAAAGGAGCAUAGAGGUUUUAAAGGGUGUGUGAUAGUGAUGGUUAUAUCCUUUGACAGAGGGGUCUGAAAGGAGCAUAGAGGGUUUAAAGGGUGUGUGAUAGUGAUGGUUAUAUCCUUUAACAGAGGGGUCUGAAAGGAGCAGAGGUUUUAAAGGGUGUGUGAUAGUGAUGGUUAUAUCCGCGGGACAGUUUUGGGGGUUUUAAGGUCAUGAAAUAUUGUGUGGGUGGUGGGUUGAAGAAAGAAUACAAUACUUAACACUUAUUUUUCUUAACUGCAUUGUUGGUAAAGGGCUUGUAGGUGAUCAUUUCACUGUAAGGUCUACACCGGUUGUAUUCGGUGCUUGUCAUAAAUAAAACUAGAUUUGAUAAAAAAUAAUCCAUUAAUGUAUCAAUUUGAGGUUUUGUUGUCACUUACGCUUUUGACAAUUGACAAUGAUGUCAAAGCUGAGUUAAAUAAUAGACAAGCUGUGAAAUGGAAAGUUGAAAAUAAAGAGAAGGGAGGACCAGAACAGGAAAGUUUCGGUUAAGUGGUAAAAGAGGAUGAUAGCGGUGCCGGCCGUGUCGGGGGUGCCGGCCGUGUCGGGGGUGCCGGCCGUGAGUCACAAGACAGUGACUUCAAAUAGGCCUGUGUUAUCUCAAGGGAACUGUAGCUUACUGUUCAGAUGGGAUGAAUGGCAAAUGGA